UCUAGAGAAGCAAGCAGAACAGUCUUAGCAUAACUAUAUCCACAAAGGAGCAAGAGCCUGGGACCUCACCCUUCCCUACAUGGGCGGUGAAUAGCUACCAGUGUGCCUCAUCCAAGCAGCCCUGAGGAGAAACCCACGGGUGGGUCUUUCUGACCCUCCACCUCCACAGCAGCCAGGGUAGAGCCAGUCCCUUGGUGGUGACACCACUUCAAAGUCUUCAGGGGACUCGCCUCCCAGCCCCUUAGAAAUGGCCACCUGCUGCCUGGUACUGGACAGAGCACCUCAGAAUCAUUAUCUUAUCUGUCUCUCAAAUCCCUCUAUCAGGGAAGGGCAUCUAUGUGCCUUAUUUUGCAGGCAGGAAGCUACAGUCCAAAGGCUGGGUGGUUCAACGAGAGGGCACUAGAUCAUAGUCGUGCCUGAGUCACAACAAGGAUGUCUGACCCAGGAGACACAACAUGAAGCCAAAUCAACUCCAUCCAGAGACACUGUAAACACUGGAUUCUGAGCUGCCGUGGGACGAGGUCUGCUGGCCUCUGCAUAUCUGAGUCACUUGGGUUCUAGAUAGAGCCCCAUUAGGGUUGCAGUGGACUUAGCCAGUGCACACCAAGAUUGGGUCAUGUGAGCCUGGAGCAAUGAAUGACUCAGCAGUUAAAGAGCAUCAGCUGUUCCAGGGGACACAGGUUCGGUCCUCGAAACGACCUGUAACUCCAGUACAAGGGAAUCCAGUCCCUGAGCUAUGGCAAAAUGAAAACCGUCUUGGGCACCAUGGCUAGGGUGGGGAUAAAGCACGUACCCUAUAGGUGGCUGCUCUCCUCACCUUCCUGGAUACCACUACAUGGAGGCCCCUUCUCCAGCCUCAGGGUGGGGCCGUCCCUUGUGGUGAUGGUAAUCUCCACAGAUAUCUUUCAGCCGUGCCGAGUAGGCACAGGACAGCAAUAGAAAGCAGACAACUUGGGGGGCACCUAGCUUCCCCACGCUCUGACUCCUCAUCUUAAGGAAGCAGGGUGGGGUGGGUGGGGAAGGGAGCCUUAAGUGCUGUCCAGCAGCUGUGUGCACAAUUGGCUUCUACUGUGUAUAUCCCGCAGCCCCUCAGCGGAUGGCGUCAGGUCACGCCACCUCUCUGGCUCUCUCAGUCUCUGCCUAUCUGUAAAGGAGGGGUGUUCUUGUUCCCCUAACCUAACAGGGAUCCCUGUAAGGACCAAAGAAAACAGCACAGAGGAGGGGCCUCGCAAGUCUAAGGGAAUAUUGCACAUAUUGACUUGGACAGACAGCUUCAGAAUGUUAAACAGAGCAGGCGCUGGCUACAGUAGAGUCAAUGCCUCACUUCUUCCUCAGGGGACCCCGACCCAGCUGGACAGAGAGGAUCUGAGAGUGUUACGGGCCAUGAAGCAGUCACUUGAUGGCUGGGGAAGGGUGUGGCCAGAGAAGAUUGGAACGGGUUCUUAGGGAAAAGGAGAGGAAAGAUGGCCCUGCUGUGAAAUGGCAGGGACCCAGAGGGAAAUGACAGAGCGCAAAGGGCAGUGGGAAUGAAAAGCAAAAGGAUUCAGGACUGUGCAGGCACUCGGCCCUGGACAGUGUGUCCUUACAGUACUACCCCAGAUAGCGUGUCCUUACAGUAAGUACUACCCCAGCAGGAGGGGGAGGGUACAGGCACGGACAGAGGCAUACUUGCUCUGGUCCUGCAAAGCCUGAAGAAGCCUGAGUGAGCUCAGAGCUUCCUGGUGCGGCGUCCCAGAGAACUGCCCACCAGGAACCAGCACUUGGGAGUUCUAGAUGGUCUUGCCUGACUUCUGGUGUGAUUGGGGCCUUCAGAGCCUGUUUGGGUGGUAAGGAAGUGAGCAGAAAGUCUGGACACAGAGGGAAUGGAUGGGCUAGUUUCUAGAAAGCCCGGCCCCUGUAGAAAGAUGCUGGAGGUGUCAUUCAUGGGCUGACUGCUCUGCCACUCUCAGCUCCAAUGUGUAUCUGCUUUCUCCAGGCAGGCAUUGCUUCCUGACUCCCUGGAUCAGGGGACUGCUUCCUUUCAAUCCCCUACAAGAUAUCAGGAGAGUUCAAAGAGUCAGAACUAUCUUCAGAGUUCUUUAGGGAGGCUAAGCAGCAGCUAAAGGCCCAGAACCAAUUUCAGGCAUAGCCAUGACUCCUUGGAACAAGUCACAGCUGGAUCUGCUGAGGCGGGGAGGGGUCUCUGGGGUGGGCAGCCACAGUGUGAUCCUAUGGGCUCCUCAGAACAGGUCAAACGAGCACCAGGUCCAGCCCUUCUCUCUUCUACAUCCAGGUGGGAUGAGGCCAACACGUGAGGGGCAGAGGUGGUUCUCGUGAAGUGUUCUGUGCCCUGAAGCCGUAACACCUCCUCCUCCCUGAGCCCCCACUGAUGACAGAACCCAACUACAGAUCGACUUCAAGGCUUGAGAUAAAGGCUUCCAGAAGUCUGCUCGGCUCACUCAACAACUCAGAGAGAACCAAUGACCAGGCAGGUGGAUAACAGGGAUGGUGGAGAGAAAGCCUGCUACCAAGAAGCAGGGCACUCACUCCCUUAACAGGAACAAGCUACUAAGGGCUGGAGAGAUAGCUCAGCGUUUAAGAGCACUGGCUGCUACAUAUACAGCCACCCAACUAGACAAGAUGGAUGAAGCAAAGAAGUGCAGACCGACAGGAGCCGGAUGUAGAUCACUCCUGAGAGACACAGCCAGAAUACAGCAAAUACAGAGGCGAAUGCCAGCAACAAACCACUGAACUGAGAAUAGGACCCCCGUUGAAG